UGUUUUUGUUGUACUAAUCCUUGACAUUUGAUCAGAAAGUUGAAGAGAAGGAUGUCACAAAGACAACAAGUGUCCUCAUGACACGAGUAGCAUGGAUGCCGGAAGGGGACCGAUCCUCCAAACAUCCGCAUUUCCUCAUUAGCGUACAUUUGUUAACCCUGUCCACAUCUACAAAGCACAAGUCAGGAGUAGAAUGGAAUAGUCCACACUUGCCUGGAUGAGUGCAGCUCUAACAACACUCAAGUAGCUUGACACCAUCUAGGACAAAGCAGUCUGCUUGAUGGGAACUACAUCCACAAGCAUCCACUCACUCCACUACUCAUGCCUGGUAGCAGCAGUGCAUGCUAUCUACAAGAUGUAUUGCAAAGAUUCACCAAAGAUCGUCAAACAGUAUCUCCUAAACCCUGACUACUUCCAUCUUGAAGGACAAGGGCACCUGAUAUAUGGGAACACCACCACCUUCAAGUUCCCUUCCAAGCCACUCAUCAUCCUGACUUGGAAAUAUAUCGCCAUUUCUUCACUGUCGCUGGGUCAAUAUCAUGAAAUUCCAUCCCGAAUGGAAUUGUGGGUCAACCCACAGCACGUGGACCAACUUCUCAAGGGCAAUCUAUGAAUGGACAAUAAAAGCUGGCAAGUCAGCAACACUCUCAUUCCACAAAUAAGUAAAAAAUGUAAUUUUUAUUUUAUCUGUUGCUAUGAUGUUGGUGUCACUGACUAAACCAGUAUUUGUUGCUAAUUGUCCUUAAGAUGAUGUGCUGAGCUGUUACCUUGAACUGCUAUAGUUUUUGAGAUAUAGGGACAUCACAGUGCUAUUAGGAAGUAAGUUCCAAGAUUUUGACUCACUAACAGUCAAGGAACAGCAAUAUAAUUGCAAGUCAAGAUACUACGUCUAUUUAUCCAGUUAAUCUUAGCCAGCUCUGCUCUUCUGUCUCUCUGUUGUUAACUUUCAUAAGGUUUAAGAUUCUUAUUUGGCACUGAAGUAUGUCAAUUUGUAAUUGAACAUGGAAUUCAAUUGUAUAUGAUCACUAUUUCCUGGCAGAUAGUUUGCUAUGAAGUUAAUAAUA